GACGAACGCUGGCGGCGUGCUUAACACAUGCAAGUCGAACGGAAAGGCCCUGCUUUUGUGGGGUUCUCGAUGGGCGAACGGGUGAGUAACACGUGAGUAACCUGCCCUUGACUUUGGGAUAACUUCAGGAAACUGGGGCUAAUACCGGAUAGGAGCUCCUGCGGCAUGGUGGGGGUUGGAAAGUUUCGGCGGCUGGGGAUGGUCUCGCGGCUUAUCAGCUUGUUGGUGAGGUAGUGGCUUACCAAGGCUUUGCCGGGUAGCCGGCCUGAGGGGGUGACCGGCCACAUUGGGACUGCGUUACGGCCCAGCCUCCUCCGGGAGGCCACAGUGGGGAAUAUUGCACCAUCGGCGGACGCCUGAUGCAGCACCCCCGCGUGCGGGAUGACGGCAUUCGGGUUGUAAACCGCUUUCGCAUGUGACGAAGCGUGAGUGACGGUAAUGGGUAAAGAAGCACCGGCUAACUACGUG
rnacentral:rRNA from 1 species